UACGUAGGGGGCUAGCGUUGCUCGGAAUCACUGGGCGUAAAGGGUGCGUAGGCGGGUCUUUAAGUCAGAGGUGAAAUCCUGGAGCUCAACUCCAGAACUGCCUUUGAUACUGAGGAUCUUGAGUACGGGAGAGGUGAGCGGAACUGCGAGUGUAGAGGUGAAAUUCGUAGAUAUUCGCAAGAACACCAGUGGCGAAGGCGGCUCACUGGCCCGUUACUGACGCUGAGGCACGAAAGCGUGGGGAGCAAACAGG
rnacentral:rRNA from 1 species